AGAAUCAACGCUGGCGGCGUGCCUAACACAUGCAAGUCGAACGAGAAAGUGGAGCAAUCCAUGAGUAAAGUGGCGCACGGGUGAGUAACACGUGACUAACCUACCCUUGAGUGGGGGAUAACCUAGGGAAACCUGGGCUAAUACCGCAUAAUACCUUCGGGUCAAAGGAGCAAUUCGCUUAAGGAGGGGGUCGCGGCCGAUUAGUUAGUUGGCGGGGUAAUGGCCCACCAAGACUGUGAUCGGUAUCCGGCCUGAGAGGGCGCACGGACACACUGGAACUGAAACACGGUCCAGACUCCUACGGGAGGCAGCAGUGGGGAAUUUUGCGCAAUGGGGGAAACCCUGACGCAGCAACGCCGCGUGGAGGAUGAAGCCCCUUGGGGCGUAAACUCCUUUCGAUCGGGACGAUAAUGACGGUACCGGAAGAAGAGCCCCGGCUAACUUCGUGCCAGCCAGCCGC
rnacentral:rRNA from 1 species